CCCCAUUCACUUCCAACACCCUUUUCCAUUCCACAUACCCCCUGGCCCAUAUUAUUUAUUUUAGUGUUUUUUAUUUUUUUAUUUUUGUUAUUUUCCAUUUUUACAUUUUAUCCUUAAUUCUUGAUUGUUGAUUUUAAUUGAUUGCCAUGAGUAGAAAAUGAAUGAAAAUAAUUUUUGAUAUUAAUUAUUCAUUUAGAUUUCUUAAUUAGAUUAGAAUUAGAUU
rnacentral:lncRNA from 1 species